GAUGAAGAACGCAGCGAAAUGCGAUAAGUAAUGUGAAUUGCAGAAUUCAGUGAAUCAUCGAAUCUUUGAACGCACAUUGCGCCCUUUGGCAUUCCGAAGGGCACACCUGUCCGAGCGCCGUCGCACAACUGAGGCGCAGCCUUGCGUUGGCGGGCGACUUGUGAGUAGCGAGUCGCCGCCCAAACGAGACGGCGCCGCGCCGCGGCCGACGAAGCACGAAAGCGGAAGUCGACGCGGAGGCGGUUGCCUGUAGGAAGACACAGCUUGGCCUCGGAUCAGGUGGGGAUACCCGCUGAACUUAAGCAUAUCAAUAAGCGGGAGGA
rnacentral:misc_RNA from 1 species